rnacentral:rRNA from 1 species
GUACCUACGGGAGGCAGCAGUGAGGAAUAUUGGUCAAUGGCCGAGAGGCUGAACCAGCCAAGUCGCGUGAGGGAUGACGGCCCUACGGGUUGUAAACCUCUUUUGUCGGGGAGCAAGACCCGCCACGAGUGGCGGAGCGAGAGUACCCGAAGAAAAAGCAUCGGCUAACUCCGUGCCAGCAGCCGCGGUAAUACGGAGGAUGCGAGAGUUAUCCGGCUUUAUUGGGUUUAAAGGGUGCGUAGGCGGGACGGUAAGUCAGCGGUAAAAAUGCG